UACGUAGGUGGCGAGCGUUGUCCGGAUUUACUGGGCGUAAAGCGCGUGUAGGCGGCUUAGCAAGUCGGGCGUGAAAGCCCUCGGCUCAACCGAGGAAGUGCACCCGAAACUGCUGAGCUUGAGUGCCGGAGAGGAUGGCGGAAUUCCCCAAGUAGAGGUGAAAUUCGUAGAUAUGGGGAGGAACACCGGUGGCGAAGGCGGCCAUCUGGACGGUAACUGACGCUGAGACGCGAAAGCGUGGGGAGCAAACAGG
rnacentral:rRNA from 1 species